rnacentral:rRNA from 1 species
ACGGAAGGCAGCAGUGGGGAAUAUUGCACAAUGGGGGAAACCCUGAUGCAGCAACGCCGCGUGAGUGAUGAAGUAUUUCGGUAUGUAAAGCUCUAUCAGCAGGGAAGAAAUUGACGGUACCUGACUAAGAAGCCCCGGCUAACUACGUGCCAGCAGCCGCGGUAAUACGUAGGGGGCAAGCGUUAUCCGGAUUUACUGGGUGUAAAGGGAGCGUAGACGGCAUAGCAAGCCAGAUGUGAAAGGUGGGGGCUCAACCCCCAAGCUGCAUUUGGAACUGUUAAGCUAGAGUAUCGGAGAGGUAAGUGGAAUUCCUAGUGUAGCGGUGAAAUGCGUAGAUAUUAGGAGGAACACCAGUGGCGAAGGCGGCUUACUGGACGAUAACUGACGUUGAGGCUCGAAAGCGUGGGGAGCAAACAGGAUUAGAUACCCUGGUA